UGACUGUGUUGUUCUCUGCAUUUUGUGUCCUUGGAGCCGUAUCUUGCGGUACCUCCUAGAGGUGGGGUUGUGGGGUCCAAGGGUAAAUGCACCCGUAGAUUUUGUGGGGUGUUGUUCACCCAUAAGGGACACCAAUCUGCAUUGCCACCAGGGGUGCCUGAGCCUGUCUGUUUGUCCACAGCUUCGCCGCAGAGCACGGUGUCAAACUUCUGAAUUUUUGCCAGUCGGAUGGAGGAGAAAUGGCACCUCAGCCUGGCCUCCCUCAGCAUCUCUCUUAUACGAGCAAAGUUAAUGCCUUCUCAUGUAUCCAAGGACCAUUUUUGCAACCUUUUGGGGAAACUGUUUUUCUUGCCCUUUGCUCAUUUUUCUCCAUGAUUUUUGCGCUUUUGUUUCUCGACUUUUAAAAAGUUCCUUGUAUAUGAAAGCCAUUCACCUUUUAUCAGUGAAAGCACGGGCUCAUCAAGAAGCUCUGGUUUUCUCCUGCCCGGACCCUCCCACGGAGCCUGCGGCCAGGAGCAGAGGCCCAGAGAGGUUCAAAAGCUGGCCCGAGACGCACAGCAAGGAAGCGUAAGGAGGUGUUGGAGCCGAACGAACUUCUCGCUCUCUGCUGCGCUGGGUCAGCUGGGAAUUGCACUCAGCCAGGGCCCUGGGUCCUUUGGAGGGGACCCCGGCUCCCAUGGCUCUGAGCACUGCUGCUCCUUCGGACCAGGAGGAAGCCAGCAGGAAGCAUGUUGGCACAGCCUCGGUGGAAGCGAAAGACCACACGCUGGAAUCCCAAAGCUUCAACUAUUCAUCAGCUGCCCAGUGCGCCAGUGGCGGUUCGGAGUGGCUGUUAACCUGGCGUUGACGCUAAACCUGGAGCAACAAGGACCGAAAUUCAGCCCAAACGACUGUUGGCACCUCCACCUCUGAGGUCUCGUGGAAAUUGGAUGAUCAAUUUUUAAGUGGCUUUAAUGAAAUAUUAGUUCCUUCUCCUUUGAAAUCGAUUUCACCAAAGCCAAAGCUUUAGAUCAGGUGAAAUCGCUCUUGGAAUAUGCCAGAGACAGGAUCCACCAACAGGCAGGUCUUCUCCGCCACUGACUGCCGGGAAGUGUCAAAGAACUGGGAGCCAGAGAUGGUUCUAUGGUCUCGGGAGGGAGCAGGGCCCAUGCUUUCCUCACCAGUCCCUGACUCAGGGGGUGGCAGUGAGUGCCAGGGAGUGACUGGCAGCGUCCCGACAGAGUGAAAGAAUGAGCGAAUGAAUACGCACGAAGCCAGCCUGUUAGGCUCCAUCACGGAAAUGCUUGCUUUGCCUCCAGGGAGUCAGCUGAAGACCCAGUGAAACAAAAGCUUUCCCAGGUGACCCUGGGAACCCCUGCGUCUCCUCCGGGGGUCCCGGACCUGGUGGGGGAAGCACACCAACGCUCCACCUGCUGGCCCCCACCCCGACCCAGGCCCCCGGGGCAAUGACGAUGGCAAGAACAUCCGCCUCUGUCUACACAGCAGAGACCGACACGGUCCUGUCCCCCGGAAGCGCAGGCGAAGAAGGAAGCAGGCGGCGCCCUGCCAGGAGAGGCAGAGCAGGGAGGGGCUUCUGCCCAGAGGAGUUCUUUUUUGGGGCGGGGGGGGUGUCACAAAACUUCUCCCGUGAAGUUUUCCCGAGUUCUAACCUUCUGCCGGGGGGCAGGAAUACCAGGUAAGGUGUGCGCCAAGUGCCAAGGCUGGAGCGGAGGCAGGGAGAGGGAGGGCACCCAUUUCCAAGGACACUGGGACUGUGACCUUGAAGCCAGUCCGGUGUGGGGCCUCAGGUGAUUCAGGCCCGCACCCCCCCCCGCCCCCGCCGUGGGAAGUGAGGGGACCCCUGCCAGAGGCAGGAUGCUACAUCUGGGCUAAUUCAGAAGAAGGAUGCAGGUUCACCGGGCAGGGCAGGCUGGGGGUGGGGGCAAGGCCAGCAUGCACUGCGUAUGUCCCAGGCAUCAGGGCGGUACUAGGGGGUCGACCAGACUUGUGCCAUAAGCUCACUGGAGAGAAGCAGCCUCGACUGCCCCACCUCCCUGGGGAUGGAGAGGCAGCUGCCACUGGGUGCAGGUGUUAGCUGGGUUGCAGGUGUCCCCACACCCACCGGGGGAGCCCGGCUGUCCGGUUGCAGCUGGGAGUGGUGGGCCAAGUGGGAGGGCUGCUCCCCCCACCGACUUGCUGACCAGCCACAGGCCAGGGGGCUGGAGCCGGGGGGAGGAGAGGAGAGGCUGCUGUGCCUGGGCUGGGGGUCAACCCCACACAGGGGCUGGGCCCUGAGAGCCCCGGUCAGCGAGCGGAGCCCUGGGAACUGUGCUCAGGGCUGCGGGAGACGUGCACAGACCCCCAUCAGCCUCCUCGGGACCCGCUGCCAGCGGAAGGCAGCGUCUGGUUUUUCCUUUUCUCUUUACAAAGAUAAACCGCUCCCGCUGCCGAAAUGUGGGAAAACGAAAGAAGACAACGGACACGAGAAUCACCUUCACGGCACCCAGCUGCACGGCCGCGGCCGUGGACGUGGCAGAGGCGGGGUCCCUCACAGCCGUGACUGGGGUGGGAGGGGACGAGACUCCAGUGACUGGAGUCAGGUCCUCUUGUCUUCAGGUCACAAAUGAUUGGCAAAAAGCCAUAUCGGGGCUCGACUCAUACGGUCAGAAGUGCAAAUGCAGGGAAGGCGAGGUCGCUGAGGCCGGCUGAGACCCCAGCUAGCUCGGAGGCCACCAGUGGCUUGACGACAGGGGCGCGGGGACCCUGUAGGGUGAGUCUGGAGAGCGGGCGGCGGUGGCCCCACUGCAGACAAGCCAUGGGCACCCUGGCUCAAGGCUCCCCCCAGACCCGAGUGCAGCCCAUCCCCGGAGACCCUCCUCUGGCUUGACGGGGGAAGGUGGGGGUCUGAGGCCCUGGACCAGCGGGGGAUGGCAGCAGGAGCGGUUCUGAGCGGCCUCCGGAGGCCUGGGUGGGGGCUCGCGGGGGAGAAGUCGCCCCCGCGUCACGUGCUAUGGGAGCCUCCCCGCUUGGCAUCGUUAUAACCUUUUUAAUUCCCUGGGAAAAAAGACGUGAAAGCCACAUCAGCUGGGCCGUGGGCUGAGGUUUAAAUGUGAUUGAAACUGCGGCGUGACUGGGGAGAAGGUUGACUGGUCUGCACAGCCUGCCUGGCUGGGUUUUAUGCCCACUGGACUCUGCCCUCGGAGGGAGUCAGGUGAGCGAGGCCGUGGUGAGGAAGUGGAGGCUGUGCGCCCAGACUAGGUCCGCCCUCUCUGGUCCUCGUUGAAUCCGGGGGUCCAGGAGCUAAGGAAAGGCGUGUCUUCACUUCUCCGGGUCCCGCAGGGGCGGCGUCGGGGGAUCGGGGGGCUGCCCCAGGCCUGCGGGCUGUUCAGACACAGCCCUGAGACCCACCUUCCCCCACGGCCGCCCCCCAUGGCCAUGUCCACCUGGACGGGGAGAUCUGGCCUGGAUGGGGCGGGGGCAAGGGUGCCACUUUCAGCCGAGUAGGACGACUGAUGGUUACACUGUGGGCCUGGCACUUGCUUCCCCAGCCGGAAGCAUGUCUGUGCCGCUUACCGCUCGGCCGCGACGAGCCUCAGCUUCCCCUCUGUAGAGUGGGAGUGGGGGCCCGGCUCAGCUCUGAGCUUGGAUGUGCUAGCCCUGGGGCCCCGCCCGCCUCGUCUCCCUUAGUCACUGUGGUCCUUGCUGAGGGCCUGGCGGGUGGGGAGAGAAGAUGGGGUGCUGGGCGGGGGCCCCUGGAUGUGCCGACUGAGGCCGGGGCCCCCAGUGCACAGUCCCGCCUUCCAGGCCCCCAGCAGGACCAGCAGCCAGGCGUCCACUCACACAGCCCCAGGCAGACGGCUGGACCCAGAGCCGUCAUUUUUCUUCAAAACGCCUUUUCCAGCAAGAAGUCCAAACACGAGGACGCCAGCCUGAGCUGACACAUUGUGGUUGUGACACGUUUUAAAUAGCUUUCACUAAUUGUGCUCAUUGCUCAUCUCUUCCUACCAUUUCAUAAAUUGCAUUUAAUUGUUUUGGGGUUGCUUCUUUAAAAAUAAAUUGUUACCUAGAAGCCUUCUUGGAGCGUCUGCCCACACGCGUCGGCUGACGCAUCCUGAGGUGGCCGUGCUGGCUCACGUGUGCCUCUUUGCCCUGAUGGCACCUCCGCGGAUGUGGCCACUUCCUCCGGUCGGAAGAGGAGCCAUCCCAGGCCAGCGAGCGCGCGGGGAUCCUGCAGGGGAGCCUGGCGCCGGUCCUGUGUCGGGCGUUUCUCGUGCGUUCUCUUAUGUCAUCCCCGCAAGAACCCAGUGAGGAAGGGCCUUUCCCCGCCUAAUCGAUGAGGAAAUGGGGGCUCAGAAAAGCGCCAGAUAAGAGACGACCGCCGCCGCCGACCCCCGCCUCUCCUUCAUCCCACCAGCUCUGCGCCCUCAGCUACCCCAUCCUGCCGGGAGGGGCCCAGCUUCCUCUCCAAGUGCAAAGGAGGCCGUUUCCUUGGUAACAAAGGCCUCUGCCUCCCUGGGCAGGGCUGGCUUCAUUGCCAUAAGCCCCUCCUGAGACCCCCUGGUGGGGCGCGGCUGGGCUGAGUGUGCACAGACCCUGGAGGGACCCAGGCCCCCAGGCACCACUCAGGGCCCCCGCUCCUGGGGUCCGUGGGCAGAAUUUCAAGCUCAAGAGGUAUUCUUAAAAAGCACCCAUGCGGCUUAGUUAAACCUCCUAAAAUAAUUUCAGGCAAGCAAUUACUCCCUUUAAAGGCGUUUGGAGGUGUUGCAAUCCAGGCCCCCACUUCUCGUGAUGAAAGCCGGUCCCUUUGUGCUGCGGAGCUGGGUGGGGGCAGCUUGGCAUUCGAGGCCACUCCUUCCGCAGGUGCUCCGGUGCCUGGUUGCGCCCUGGGUACCUCCCUGCCCCCUUCCCCACUGCUGCCUGCGCCUCUGGGCUUGUCAGGGAGCCUGAGGGCUAGAGGCAGCACAGAACGAGGAGGGGUCUGCCAGGCAUUUCCCCACGUGACCGCCCCCCGAAGCUGGGCCUGGCUCCAUCCGGCUCUGGGGGCAGGUCCUCGCCAGCCCCGACUCUCUCCCUCUUUCCUCAGGCCUCACGAGGGGCGUCCCCUGCGCUGACAUUCAGAGUCAACGGGAAUCAAGGCUGCCCUGCCCUCGGGAGCCCCCGCACCUAGACAGACAGACGGCCGUGACGCACCAUGUGGGGCUGUGAUGGGGUGGGGCGCAGGAUCGGAGGGGGUGCCUGCCAGCAUCUUGGGGACCCAGGGAGCCUUUCUAGAGGAGGCGGGUGGAACACAGAUGACUGUGUGGCCAGGUCCCCUCCCCCACUGCCCGGCAGAUGGAAGGAGCCGGAGGGGACCGUGCCUGUGUCCAGAGCCUGAGCCCUGUGAGGCCACCACACUGCUGCUCGUCGUCCACCCGGAGCUCCCCACCUCCCCCUGUGAGGAGGGCACCCUGGGCCGAUGGGGAUGCGGGGCAGAGCUGAUGUGAGCCCACGGCCUGGCGCUCCAGUGGCGUCAGCUCAGAGCAGCCACUCCCAAGCUUAGCGGGGCCCGUGAGCCGGAGGUGAAGGCUGUGUGUUGUAAGCCCGCGGGUUCCUUACGCGGCAUUUCCAUGACUGGCGCUAACCUCUGCAAAGGGAUGCUUGCUCUGGACCCUUAAAGCCCGCAGGGGUGGCCGGGUGAGAGGGCACCCCAGGCAGAGGAAAGCUGUGAGCAGCCGGGGAGCGGGCUGGCCCUCCACCCGGGCUCUGGUCCCACCAGCGUCUACCCGCUGCACGCAGCUCCCUCCCUGGCGACCCCCGAGGGCUGCUCACAACUUACCUGUGAUCCAGGUGGGGCAAGGCGCAUCCUCAGGAUCUGCCAGCGGGGGGGACGAUGCACCAAACCAGAGCGUCCUUCCAUCCGCCGCCCCCACCCCCACCAGCGGGCUCUGCUGAGCCUCGUCCCUCGGGGCCCACGGCCCCCUAACGACUUCUCUUCAGGAGGCCUCAGGUCCAGCCGUCCGCCCAUGAGGAGCAUGCGCUGCAGCCUACACAGGCGCACCCCGAUUCUCCACCCAGCUCCUCGCCCCCGGGCCUUUGCCUGUGCUGCUCCCGCCACCUGGAAGCUGGUCCUUGCCUUGCCUUCUCACAGCCCUCGGCCCAUGACGCUUCCCACCCUUCAAAGUCUCGUUCACAGGACACCCCCUGUCGCACGGUCCCCAGACUAGCCAGUAGUGGCCUUCCCUCCCGUAGGCAGCACGACACCUCGGACCCCAAGGUCUUUCUGCCCCAUGACCAAAGCUGGCCCUGGUCAAAGAGGGACAUGGCAGCCGUGGGGUGGCUGACACUGCAGGUGCCUGGCCUUGGUGUGCACCUGCUCACCAGGCCACUGCAGGAGCAGGUUCCCAGGUCACACCUCCAGAGAACCGAAGGGGCCCUGGAGUCUGUAUUCCUUCAGCUCCACCCUUUGAGAAGCAGCAUCCAGGCGACCAGAAGGGCCUGUAUCGGCCUCCCCCCCAGGGCCCCCUCCCCACACCCACGGGGCGCAGCAGGCCGAUUGUCCACUGACGCUGCCUCCCUGGCAUCAGAGCUCUAUGCCCAGAGGACAUUCCAGGCUGUCAGCCGUGGUGAUGAAGAAAAAUGGGCUAUUUCACCCUUUAGAAGAAACACUCCAUUUUGGCUCCAUUACUUGGCUAGCUGGCUCCACUGUGCUUGGAGCCCUGCCUGAGACACAGGAGGAUGGGGGACCACAGACCAGGCGCGCGCAGGCCCGCAGGCCGUCCUCGGGGAUCUCAGCUGACCUCCCCGACCCCGCCCCACAGUCUG